CUACGUGUGGCUGGGCCUGCUGGAGCGCGCGCUCCCGGGCCGAGCGCCGCGCGCCAUGCUGGCCAAGUUGCUGUGCGACCAGGUGGUCGGUGCGCCCAUCGCGGUCUCGGCCUUCUACGCCGGUAUGAGCAUUCUCCAGGGAAAGGAUGACAUAUUUUUGGACCUGAAACAGAAAUUCUGGAACACCUAUAUGCAAACUCAGUCGUGGCUUUGGAGAUCACUUUAAGCUUGUCUCCAGCUGGCACACUAAGGAGGGUAAUGGAGAAGCUCCCCCACCCCCAACCCCACCCCUUCCUUCCGGAAGCAAAUCUAAGUCCAGCCCCGGCUCCAGAUCCCUCCCACAGUGGACCUAGGAAACCCUCAGCUCAGAGAACAACCCUGCAUUCCCCACACAACACCCACAAUCAGCCACUGCGGGCGAGGAGGGCACGAGGCCAGGUUCCCAAGAGCUCAGCUCUGGCCCCUAGUAGCAGCUCAGUUCCUCAAUGGGCCGUGUUUGUCCUGGAGCCCAGAUGGACUGUGGCCAGGAACAUGGAGCUGAUCCAGGACACCUCCCGCCCGCCACUGGAGUACGUGAAGGGGGUCCCGCUCAUCAAGUACUUUGCAGAGGCACUGGGGCCCCUGCAGAGCUUCCAGGCCCGGCCUGAUGACCUGCUCAUCAGCACCUACCCCAAGUCCGGCACUACCUGGGUAAGCCAGAUUCUGGACAUGAUCUACCAGGGUGGUGACCUGGAGAAGUGUCACCGAGCUCCCAUCUUCAUGCGGGUGCCCUUCCUUGAGUUCAAAGCCCCAGGGAUUCCCUCAGGGAUGGAGACUCUGAAAGACACACCGGCCCCACGACUCCUGAAGACACACCUGCCCCUGGCUCUGCUCCCCCAGACUCUGUUGGAUCAGAAGGUCAAGGUGGUCUAUGUUGCCCGCAACGCAAAGGAUGUGGCAGUUUCCUACUACCACUUCUACCACAUGGCCAAGGUGCACCCUGAGCCUGGGACCUGGGACAGCUUCCUGGAGAAGUUCAUGGUCGGAGAAGUGUCCUACGGAUCCUGGUACCAGCACGUGCAGGAGUGGUGGGAGCUGAGCCGCACCCACCCUGUUCUCUACCUCUUCUAUGAAGACAUGAAGGAGAACCCGAAAAGGGAGAUUCAAAAGAUCCUGGAGUUUGUGGGGCGCUCCCUGCCAGAGGAGACCGUGGACUUCGUGGUUCAGCACACGUCGUUCAAGGAGAUGAAGAAGAACCCUAUGACCAACUACACCACCGUCCCCCAGGAGUUCAUGGACCACAGCAUCUCCCCCUUCAUGAGGAAAGGCAUGGCUGGGGACUGGAAGACCACCUUCACCGUGGCGCAGAAUGAGCGCUUCGAUGCGGACUAUGCGGAGAAGAUGGCAGGCUGCAGCCUCAGCUUCCGCUCUGAGCUGUGAGAGGGGCUCCUGGAGUCACUGCAGAGGGAGUGUGCGAAUCAAACCUGACCAAGCGGCUCAAGAAUAAAAUAUGAAUUGAGGGCCCGGGACGGUAGGUCAUGUCUGUAAUCCCAGCAAUUUGGAGGCUGAGGUGGGAGGAUCAUUUGAGCCCAGGAGUUCGAGACCAACCUGGGCAACAUAGUGAGAUUCUGUUAAAAAAAUAAAAUAAAAUAAAACCAAUUUUUAAAAAGAGAA
rnacentral:lncRNA from 1 species